ACUGGAGAUUCCUUCAAAACGAUUGCCUACAGUUAACGUGUAGAGCACUGCAAGGUUGGGUGUCCAGGCCCAUCUGGGACUGCCUCCUGGAGGAAUUCAGGAGUUUGAAGGCUACCUGUGUCCUGCAUAACGUUAUGAGGAUGAACACGAGGGCCAGAGGAGGAGUCUGCUGCUCUGCAGGAUGUUUCAAGGAUGGGGUCCAACAACACACAUGAAGUACUCUGCAGCCUUAGUGUGUCGUGGACACCAGGUUAUAUCAGCUGUGUCGGUGAACCCCUCCCUCAUCUGAACUGGCUACAUAGAGGGCAC